CAGUAACAUCUACUCUAUAAUACUGGGAGGCAAUUAACUGAGAACAUUCAUACAUCAGUGGUGACUGGCAUGGUAAGUGCUCAAUAAAUUGUUUCUUCUUGUCUACUGUCAUUGGUCUCAUUCAAAUCACUGUCAUUUCAUAUUCAUGUAUUGUAAUGACCUCUAAAUGUUUUCAGCUAGAGCAGAAGAUAUUUAGAUAGACCAUCAUAUAAGAGAACCUUAGGAGAGAAGAGCAAGUUGCCUCAAAGGAACAUGUGUAAGCUUAGGUAUUCUCUGUAAACUCCCCCUAUGAUACUAUCAAAGCAACUUUUACUGAUAAGACAAACCAUUGCCAACUUCUUCCUUAUUCAAAUGUUUGUAAUCCUUAACUCUUACGUAAUUCCUAUAUUUUCACAUAAAUCCUACAUUUUGUAAUUAUAUUAUAAGCUGAGCCCAGGGUUUCUGCCAGGGCUGCAGGGUUCAGGUUCUAUUCCAUUCUGAAUGUCACCCUCUAUGUACCUAAAAAAGGUUUUGGUAGAUCUAACCUGAAAUCUGGAGUUUUGGAAUAAGCCACAUUCAUGGAUCACCGUAACAUCUGUAAGUUCCAAAGUAAUUCCUUAUGCCCAUAUCACUGUCUUUUAUUUUUGGUGCACUUUUUUUUUUUUCACAAAUGGAUAAUUUGUGACUCAGACCUUCCUUUUGCUAUCAGAAUUGAAAUCUGUCCAGUCUUAUAAAAAUAGCUAUUUCUAAAAUUACAGUUUCAAAAAUUCUGAAUUACUAGUGUUAAAAUGCCAUUCUUAGAAUUAUCACUUUGUUAGAGGUGACCAAAAUCCAUACUGAAUGAAAUCAGCUCAUCAUGAGCUUACAUCAGACUGUCCCAAAAUGAUCUUCUAAGUGACUGACACUUCUCAAUUAUCUCAAUACAAUAAAAAAUAAAUAAAUGUCAUGAAUAUUCUUAAAAGCACAAUGACUACAGUAGAUAAAAUUUCGUAUUGUUUUAAAGAUUAGAACCAAUGAUUUAAGCAAAUGUCAUUUCUCAUAAUGUUUAGUGUAUGGUAUUAUAAGGUUUUUUUUUUUUUUUUUUUUUUUUUUUUUCCUGGGAACCUCCGUAUACCAUGGGUGCAGCCCUAAAAAGACAAAAAAAAAAAAAAAANAAAAAAAAAAAAAAAAAAAUUACAGUGUCAUAUAUUCUCUACAUUGCCCCUGAAGAAGCAUAGAGGCAAGCAACUCUGAUGUGUAAAUUUUGCCUAUUCAGUUGGAAUUAGCCAGUUGUUGGCUGAAAUUAACAAUUUACUAAUUUCAUUAGUAGCUUAACUAGUUGAGCAUGUCAAUAGACUAUGUCUUUAAAAGAGUCCUUGUUUUUCUUACAUAUCUUGCAAAUACUUAUGCAAUGUAGACCUGUUCAAAAGACUCAUUCCUACAAGGAAAAGAAGAAAGCCAAGAUUUGAGUUCCCUAACUGAAUGAAAAUGUGUUCAUUCCUCCCACUUCAGGAAGGUGUCAAAAAAGACUGUCAGUUUCAUAAUUAUGCCUCUUGAGCAGAUGGGCGGUAAGACAUUCUGUGACAUUUGAGAAGAAAAUAAUUUUAAAACCCUAAAAAUAAUAAUAAAGGAACUUCUAAAUAAAGAGCAUGCUCCAACAUACAAGUAAAAUAUCUUAAAGUAGGAAAGGAAUUUUUAAAACAACUAGAGACCCAUUUGUUAGCUAGACCUUUCUAUGUUUAUAGUACACACACCAUCAGGUUUUACAGCAGGUCAUUUCAAAAGACAACUCUGCAGAAUAUUCUGGAAUAGCUAUAUAAGUUUGGAGUUGAUGAAUUUAUGUAGUAUGAAUCCACAGUUGGGUCCCAUUUUGAAUCAACCACAAGACAUAGCUGAUGGCAGUAAACAAGGUUAAAAUUAUAAUAUGAAGCAGGGGCUGGUGAAGGGCUGGUUAAUUCUCAGCUUUUCUUCCAGUCACUCAAAAAAGAGCAAGUAAAACAUAACCCAGGAAGGGAAAUUACAGCUCAAAUUCCUAUCAGAAACUGAAGUCUACCUGGAUCUCUGAACUGCCAGUCUAUUGAUAGAUGAUAAAGAUGUCCAAUCCCUAAAUCAUCUCACCCUUUCAGAAAAUGGUAUUUUUCUUUACAGCGUUUCUUGGGUCCACCGGCUAGAUAAACACCUCAGCAUUCGGUGUGAACAGUCUAUCUGGAGAAGCAUGAAAAAUAAUAUUGACAAGUCAUUUGUUGCUUCUGCCUUUUGUGUCAGAAAACCAAGGAAGAGCAAAAAAGAACACAACAACAAAAAAUAAAACAAAAAAGCCAAAAAUAUUUCAAAGCCCACAUUCAAAUUUUGAUUGAUUUAGCAACACAGCUACCUGAGUCCUGCAAGUACCAGGACUGUUUUAAUAAACGGAUGGCCCUCAACUUUUCAAUAUAAUAAAUUUUAAAAUUAUACAAGAAAUGUAUGAUUAUUAUAGAAUAGAGAAUAAAGAUAAACAAAAAAGAAAAAAAA
rnacentral:lncRNA from 1 species